CAGGUCGGCGGCUAGUGCUUUGGUGGCGAGGCCAAGGCUCCCAAGUCCGCACACCUGUCCGAGCGCCUGCCAGGAACCAGUGCACUUUGUUUUGUAGCCUUCUUGGGCCACCAGGGCAACUAUGGCUGUCCUCACGCUGCCACAUUACAUCAGGCAGACACCAGGUGCGGCUCACGGGAGGCCACAAACUUUGAGCCCAGACAGGGCUGGGCUGUACACUCUAUGUACAAUGCAUCCACACAAUUAACUUACAUCCGAUUGAUAAGGGUAUUAACCACCCACGUAGAUAAGAUAAACCUGUCUACAGAAAUCCAUCCCUGAAGAAAUAUUCAUAACAACCUGUGUCUACAUAAAGAUACGUGGCUAGGAUCAUUUACGUCUGCCUCCAUGUUGCUUCUCCCUUUCUGCUCCCUGUCUUCUUCCCCAAUGAGAGGCCUCAUUUGAUCUUGUGUCUGCCUUCACCUGCAUACAUGGCCAAGAUCUGCAAUGUUGGCAAUCACGAGGCCUUCUCAGAGAAGAGAGCCAGGAAGGAGAAAGGAUAUCAUGAAGACAGAGAGGUGAGUGGUGCAUUUAACUCUUUUUCUUGUUGUUGGAUUUCUGCAAGAAUGGUGGUUUGUACUUGGACAAGAGAAGGCCAAAUACAGACAGAGCUGCUAGGCCAGGUUGUGUCUCUUGUCAUAUACAUGGCUCCCUUGACUGGUGUACUCCAGUGAGGAUCGAGUGGAUCUCAAACAACUCAUGUACAGCCUGCGGGUGUGCGAUAAAAACUGUGGCCCUGAUAAGGACCUUGGAUAAUAAUCUCAUCA
rnacentral:lncRNA from 1 species